rnacentral:lncRNA from 12 species
UGGGGCAGGGGCCAGGAGAUGGGGAGGCCCUCAGGACUGGGGUUGGGCAAGAAGGUCCUCCCAAGACCCCUGGCCCACCAGCCAGCCCUCUUUGGCCUUCAGGCCUCCCUCUGAACCCUCCCCCGUAUUGCUCAGAGCCAGGGAAGCAGCCUCCCUGAGGAGCCCCUGCCCUGGUGGGUGACUGCCGACCCCGGGGCGCACGGGAGGGCCCUGUGCUGGCCCCACAGCACUGCUGGGCCAGCCUGAGCUGUGCCGCUGCCCCCGCCCCGUCGUCCUGUGGGCUGUGGGCGAGCUCCUCUGUCUUUGUCUACUGUCUCGGGCUGGCUCCCCUGCCGGCCGCGGGCUCUGCCUCGCUUCUCCUCUAAGGUCAGCAGGCGGCGGCCUCAGGCAGCUCUCCCCUUCCUCCCCCUGGGCCAGGCUCAGCCAGCACCCCAGUCCUCCAGCCCUCAACUCCCACUCGCCAGCUGCCUGCACUUCUCAUGCCUGCAGGGCUCCGGCCUGCCUCCCCCUGCACCUCGGAGCCAGCACGGCCGGCCUGGCCCCCAGUGCUCGGGGGCUGCGGUGGGGAGCUCUGGGCCAGAGACCUGGGGGUACCUCUGCCCUCAUGGUGCCUUCCUGGGGAGCUGGGUGGCUGCUGCACACCCUGGUCCUGUCCCAUCCUGGGAUUUGCCUGCCCCAGGCUUCAGGUGCACCUGCCCUGCCUGCCCACGUGCAACCUCCCUGCACACAGUCCGGUCCACGCGAGCUUCCAAGCGCCUGAGAACAGAGCGCUGCCCGGCGCCCAGGGUCAGCACCGGGUCCUGUCCCUGUUCUCCCAGCGAACCCUGGAUUGCAGCCAUCCGGACUCCUUUUCCGUCCCCUGUUGGAGUCACCCUUGCUCCUUGGACCCUGUGAAGACAGUCUUUCCGGGGACCGGUUGUCCUUGUCUCCACCUUCUGCGUCCCCUGCGCACCAACUGGAGCAGGAAGGGGCAGGUCACAGGGCACAGAGGAGGGCCCCGGCCGUGAGUUUGCCUGUGGCGCGGGACUGCCUGUCACCCCCACGAAACCAGCGGCCUUGGAGACACAAUCCCCAAGUGGCGGGAUAGAAGCGCCCUUGUAGACCAACUACUCUCGGCCCCCAUUUUACAAGCAAGGGAACCGAACCCCAGGACGAUGUCACUGUCAGCAGUGUGUGGGCCAUGAGCGUGUUUCCCCCAGUUCCCCAGGACCAGCCGCCUGCGCCUGCGGUCAGCCCAGGCCCAGGCCGUGAAGAGCCUCAGGCCCCUUGCAAAGACACUGCGGGGGUGACCACAGGCGCUCUCCAGUGCUCUCCCUCCCGCUGAUGGGAGGCUAAUCGGAUGGAACAGGAUGGGCGACAGGCUUCACCCUUGCUAUUCCUAUAAGA